CCUACGGGAGGCAGCAGUGAGGAAUAUUGGACAAUGGUCGAAAGACUGAUCCAGCCAUGCCGCGUGCAGGAAGACGGCCCUAUGGGUUGUAAACUGCUUUUGUUUGGGAAGAAACCUUUCUACGUGUAGAAAGCUGACGGUACCAUACGAAUAAGCACCGGCUAACUCCGUGCCAGCAGCCGCGGUAAUACGGAGGGUGCAAGCGUUAUCCGGAUUUAUUGGGUUUAAAGGGUCCGUAGGCGGACUUAUAAGUCAGUGGUGAAAUCCUGCAGCUCAACUGUAGAACUGCCAUUGAUACUGUAAGUCUUGAAUUCGGUUGAAGUGGGCGGAAUAUGGCAUGUAGCGGUGAAAUGCUUAGAUAUGCCAUAGAACACCGAUUGCGUAGGCAGCUCACUAAGCCUGGAUUGACGCUGAGGGACGAAAGCGUGGGUAGCGAAACAGGAUUAGAUACCCGUGGUAGUCCGACGACCGUAAACGAACUAGAUUACUACGACAUUAGUCGAUACUACGGUUAGGUUGUCUAUAAGACGAAGAC
rnacentral:rRNA from 1 species